rnacentral:lncRNA from 12 species
CUCCCACGUGACUGCUUCUUGUGAUUCAGCGAGACCUGGGGAGGCAGGAGGGGCGCCGCUGGAGGCUGUGCUCGCAGGGCCACGGCGAGCCAAGGUCCCUGUCUGUUUUCCACGUUCCCACCGCGGGGCUUGAGGGCACCGUCGCUCCGUGCCCAGGACCACCUGCGGGCUGGGGUCUGGGGCGGCCCGAGCCCUCGGACUGGGAGAUGGGUCAAGCCCAGGCCCCCCAACCCCGGAGCCCAGAGGGGCCCCCUUUGCUGACGUGCCAUGGUCCAUGUCUGAGGACUCAUCUGGUCUCAGUGCAGAAAACGCGUGUGAAGGGGAGCGGCAGGGGUUACCAGAGGUCACGGCCCCGCAGGGCUGGUUCCCCCAUGUCUGUUUGGGAGCAAGUGAUUUAUUUUCCUGUCUGAACCUUGCUUUGCAGUGGGAUUUGCAGCCACGAAAGUUCUUGGCCAGGACAUUUGUGUCUUAGGAAAUGUUGGGUUGCACUUUUAUUUUUAGCUUUAGGAAUGCGAUGCUUGAUAUUAUUUGGGUUUUUUAAGAUGGGCCAACGUUGAGAUGAGAACUAUGUCCCUUAACCCCAUGCCAAUCCCAGAACACUCCCGCCUACAAGAGCGUGUCCAAGUCCCACGUGGACAACACAGGCCAUCUUGUGCUCCGUCCCUGCGGGGAGGUUCCCACCGAGGGUCCCUGGCGUGCUGGGGCCCCGUGUCACCGUCCACGCUCACAUGGUGUCAGACGCUGUCUGGAAAGCAGACAGCUCUCCAGGCUGGGGCAGGACCCGGGUCUCAGGCCGGAGCCCAGCAGCCUCUGUCAUCGCUGAGCACAUGGGGGAGCUGCGCCCUCAAUGUGGAGACCGUGGUCCGCAUCCCGGGUCUGCACCGACCGGCCCAGGCAGGUCACACGCUCACCUCAAUCUCUACUCCUGCUGAGGGGGAGCAGGCUGGGGAGGCCGCGCCGUCUGGGGACACAAUGGGCCUCCACCUGGUGCUCCCUCCUGGCGCUCCCUCCUGGUACCUCCCUCCCACCAGGACACUCGGGUGCCGCUAAGUCUGCAUGGAAACGCUCUGGUCUCCCAGAGCCCAGGUGGUUGCCUCACCGCCUGCAGCAGGAGCCCCAGGAGGCAGGGGGCCCUCACCCCACCUGGCCCGCAGUGCCCCCUCAGGCCCCCAGCUCUGGGCACCGCUCCCAGCCUCAUCCCUGCUGCAUCUCCCUCCUACUCGGUCUCGGUGCUGCAAGGGCAGGAAGUGCUCCUGGGGGAACCAUCCCCAACAGCUAGGGUGUGCGAGGUCUCCCCAGCGUCCACGUCCCGGGACCCUGCCGUGUAGGCCCAAAGAGACAGCGGGCUCUGAGAGAUGUGCCUGCAGACGGGGAAGAGGUCCUGGGAGCGACAGGCCAGCCCUGGCAGAGAUCGGCCUCACCAUCCCAGGCAGGUGGCCUGGCCCAGCCUGACUCCUCUAGUUGGGGGAUGAGCACCACGGCUGGGGGGACAAGUAUUCUUGGCGGAAUUGGGGCGAGCACAUCCCUUUCACAUUCUCAGUCGAGCCCCCGCGUCUCUGGCACUUGCUUCCAUGCAGCUGCACUUUCCCCCUGUUUCACGGGGAAGUUGAAAGGCGUCCCCAGCAUGAAGGGGAGCGUGCCGGUCACAUGGGGCUCACUGCGGCCAGCCGACCCGCGGGGAAGGCCCUGGAGAGCAGCGCGGCCCCCGCGGCCUGUCCCUGGGGCCGGGGAACCCCGUGGGCAGGCCGGGGAGGGGCUUCCCAGGCCCUGGCCCUGCGGGGCCCGUGGCCUCCAGGAGCCGGUGCUCUCGUCCACCACCCAGGGCCGCGGUCCCUGCCAGGACGUCACAUUCCUCUCUGAGCCCCAAGCCCGCACACGGGAGGGCUCGUCGACGUCUAUCGGAGCAAGCACAUGAGAAGCUAAGCAGGUAAAGCAGGUGAACCCUCGUCGCCCUGAAGUGGCCCGCAGGGUGUGGGGUGCAGCCGGGCGGAAUCUGACCCCACGGAGGAUGAUCCCUCGGCUGCCGCUGGAGGCAGGAGCGCUGGGGGCU